CUGCUUGCAGCGCUUUUUGGUCAGUGUUAAACAAAUCAGACCGCGGCCAUAUUUGGCCAUAAAGUUAAUGGCUUCCGGCGUGACAUAUUCGGCCGCCAUCACCA
rnacentral:antisense_RNA from 1 species